CUUCACAGAAUGCCAAAGGAACCGCAGCCCUCUCGCCCUUACGCCGCGCCGUUGUCGGUGCCGUACGCGAAGCCGUCGGGCUCGCUUGUCCCCACGGCGUCUUCGCCGACAGCAGCCACUGCCGUCGCACGGGCGGCGGCGGCGAACACCGCUGGUGGUGGUGCUGCACCGGCUGCCGGUGGUCAUCGUCCAGCGCGACUCACCAUCAACAACUUUUCCUCGUUUCGUGCGCGCGUCAAGAAGCUCCCGCCGGAUGCCAAUGUCAAGGCAGCGCUGCACACGCAACUCUUCCAGUUCCCUGAGCGUGUCUGCUUCGGCUGUGUGAAGUGCCGACGCGACAAUGUCGAGUCGGACAGCGUGGCUAUCGACUUGAAGAACCGCAUCAUGCUGUGCGCGGCCUGCUUCACCCGCAUCAUUCGGCCGCGCACGUACACGCCGAGCAGGGUGGUGCCCUUCCCAUCACUGCUGUCGUGGCUCAACUAUAAGCCUUCUCAUGUAAUGGAGAUGCCCAAUGACGUGCUGGAGCGACCCGCGGAGGCGGUGGCUCCGUCAGGCGAGCGCAUGGCCGCUCCCAUGCUAGCGGGUGGCGACAGGGCGACUAACCUGGGCAAGCUGCCAGCCAUUGCCAUGAGCAUCGCGGCUGGUGGUCGCAGCCGCGGCGGUGAUGCGGUGGGUGGACGGCGUGGAGGCCCAACGAUAGACGAGGCACUCGCUCAGGGCAGCGCCGGCACCCCGGUUGGCACCCACCCUUGCCUGCGCGUGUGGGGCGUGUGCCAGCACGGCGAGACGUGUCUGUUCCGUAAUGCGCCUGCUGAUCUGUGCGUGGCGUACCUGAUGGGGCUGUGCCGCGGACGUAGUAGCCCCAUCGGUGGCGCCCCCGUAGGUGGUGGCGGAGGCGGCCGCCCCAGUGGGAAUCGUAAUAAUAAUCGGCAUGGCCACGGCGGCCAACACCAGCAGCAUCACAAACACCACCACCACAGCCAGGGGGGGCGUAAUGCUCGCCGUGAUCGCGGCACAAUCACCGCGGGCGGUGUCCAGACGUGCCGCCUUCUGCACCAGGAGGUGUACGACCUCCCCGACGUUUCUGACCCGCCGCCGCGCGAGCGCUUCGAGGGUGACCUGGAGGACAAGGACGGUGCCUGGGCGGCGUGGGUGCGUCGGCGGCGCGACAGCCCAAACAGCGCGGAGUGGCAGCUGUGGCAUAACGGCCCGCUGGAGCAGUUGUUUAGAGCAUAUGUUCCCGCGCGGAGGCGCCCUGUUCCUCGCCAGCCGAGGAAGAAGUUGAAGGUGGCGCCAGCCGCAGAAGCGUCGGCCGCCGUGGCCGAGUUGGUAGAAGAGGGAGAGAGGAAUGUGGAAGACGAGGAGGGAGCUCAGACGGCUGAGGAUGAGCUGACGACCCCGCUCGCUGACGAGGGGGAUGCCAUGGGUGAUGAGGAGGAUGGUGAGGAAGAGGAUGAGGGCAACGCGGAUGCCAACGACGAUACCGUCAGCGAAGAGGCUGUCGGCAGGGAAGCCGAGGAUGAGCCUGCGCCGGCGCCAGUCCCUGCACCAGCGACAAAGCUGAACCUGAUGGACAUCAUGUCGGCUCUCAAGGGCAUCAGGAAAGACCCACAGGAGAAAGCGGAUGAUGAGGAGGAGUAGCCCCAUCUGCGAAGGCUUUCCCUUCUUGCUGCUGCUCCUUUUGUUGAUAGCGCCGUCACGGACGGCGACGUUGCACGCUGUUCUUCCUCUCUCUUUGUACGGCUCUGUGUUGUUCGCUGGCUAUCUUGUCGUGGAUCACCUUUUUUUUUGUUCUGGUUCUGUCUGCCGUUGAUCUCUGCGGCUACGGUGAACGGAUCUGCGGUGUUUGUGUGGGCAUGUGCGUGCGUUUUCAUGGCCCUGCUCCUCUUUCCCUCCCUAUCUCUGCGUGAAGGUGUUUCCGUGUGGGCUGGCAGCCGUUUUUUGCGUUAUGGUGACGCCGACAAGAAAAAACAAGCUUCGAGUUUUUUUUUUGCGGUUCUUGUCUGGCGGUUUACUUGCACAUCCUGGCCUAACACAUGCAGGCAUCCGAGUAUGUGCAAGUCCAAGCAUCCCCUGGAGGCAGACUCACACCGCACACGCCACGCGCACACAGAGAGAAGGCAAAAACACAGUAAAAACAAGAGGCUCACGAAGCGAGGGGCCCACGAAUGGCUUGCACCUGUCGGCAAGGCGCAUGUCUCGGAUGCGUAGACGCUCGCUCUUGUCAGUGGUUGAUCUGCGCAGCGCCGGCUUUGGCGCUGCCGUUUCGUUUCUCUCGCUUUCUCGCAGAAUCCCGACAACGGGAUGUGGCUUUCGGCGCAACAGCAUCCACCCAAGCUGCAGCAAGUUUGGCAGCACAGGUAGCGGUGAGGCUUGCUACUCGGCGUAUAUGGCCACCGCCUAUUGCUCAUGAGAUGCAAUACGUGCUCUGCUUCUCCCAAGCAAGCUGACAGGCGGACAAAGUGCGAUCUGCUCCAGGGCACCGUCUAUCUCGCUCUCGCCACCUUCUCGCGCUUCGAACCACCUUCUUGCUCGCCUUAUUCUCUGCACGUGACACCUCCUCGGCUCUGGCUAUGCUUCUCCCUUCUUGGCUUGUGUGCUCGUGUGUGCUGAUGAUGAUUCGGAGCGAGCGCACAAG
rnacentral:misc_RNA from 1 species